rnacentral:sRNA from 1 species
CGUCCUCGAUCUGCUGGGGGCAGAUAUAAUGGAUGUGGCUGUCGAACCCGCCUGCGGUCAGGAUGCGACCUUCGCCCGCGAUGACCUCGGUGCCGGGGCCAACGAUGAUGUUGACGCCAGGUUGGGUGUCAGGGUUACCCGCCUUGCCGAUCUUGUGAAUCCGCCCAUCCUUGAGGCCAACAUCCGCUUUGUAAAUGCCAGUCCAGUCUACAAUGAGCGCAUUGGUGACCACGGUAUCAACGGCACCGUCAGCGCGCGUAGUCUGGGCUUGGCCCAUACCGUCACGGAUG